rnacentral:ncRNA from 2 species
CUCGCACGAGGCAAUGGAGUCUGCCUAAUUAACCGCCGAGCCGGAUUCGGCUGAUGACUCCUACUGUUCA